rnacentral:rRNA from 1 species
AUUGAACGUUGGCGGCGUGGAUUAGGCAUGCAAGUCGAGCGAGAACCCAGCAAUGGGGGACAGCGGCGCAAGGGACAGUAAUGUGUAGAUUAUCUGCCCUCGGGUCCGGGAUAGCUGCGGGAAACUGCAGGUAAUACCGGAUAACAUCUCCGGAUCAAAGGUGUGAUUCCGCCCGAGGAUGAGUCUGCAUCCUAUUAGCUAGUUGGCAGGGUAAUGGCCUACCAAGGCGAUGAUGGGUAGCGGGUGUGAGAGCACGACCCGCGUCAUUGGGACUGAGACACUGCCCAGACACCUACGGGUGGCUGCAGUCGAGAAGCUUCCGCAAUGGGCGCAAUCCUGACCGAGCGACGCCGCGUGUGGGAUGAAGGCCUUCGGGUUGUAAACCACUGUCAGAGGGGAUGAAAUGCAGGUGGGUUCUCCCAUCUGUUUGACAUAGCCUCAGAGGAAGGACGGGCUAAGUUCGUGCCAGCCGCCGCCGUAACAC